AUGUUCACUUUGGCAGCAUGUAUACUAAAAUUGGAACAGUGCAGGGAAGAUUAACAUGGCCCCUGUACAAGGAUGACGUGCAGAUUCACAUAGCGUUCCAUAUUUUU
rnacentral:snRNA from 1 species